CGUGCCGCUGGCCGAACGGUCGGUGGUGUGGUCGAUUCCGUCGGCCACCAUCCUGGGCCGGUUCGGCGCCGACCGCCGCGGCC
rnacentral:tRNA from 1 species